rnacentral:tRNA from 1 species
GACUCGAUAGCUCAAUGGGUAGAGCGGCGGUCUAGGUACCCGAAGAUGCGAGUUCAAAUCCCGCUCGAGUCA